ensembl:lncRNA
AAUGUAAAAGUCUGAGCUUUGAAAGACAAUGUUGGAAAGAGAACAACGAUGGUGACGUUUUGAGGGUAAAAUGAUGGCUGUAACACUGUGGACACAGCAGCAGUUGAAAGAGAAGUGCUUAAGAUGAAUCUUGGCAGAGUGAGAGAGAGAGCUCGUUAAGCAGGCAGGUGUGAGCCUGGUUGCUAUAGUGACCGCACCCAAUGGCUCCAUACACACGUACACAGACAUGCGCCUCACUUUUGCUGCUUAAAAUGAACAGAAAAGUCAGGCCCAAACAAAUUCUUCCCAAAUGAAAAGUACAUGUCGUAUUGACAAAAUUCUUUCACCGUGAGCGACAGCCAUGUCUAGUCUACCUAAUUCUCAGUUUUCAUGCCUGUGGAGUUUAUUAUAUGGACGUGGUGACAGUGUAAAGACACCAUGCUCUUCUGAUUUUCAAACGAACCUUCUGAGCCAUUUUAACAUUAGAGUCUAUGGAAGAGUUGGAGGGAGGAGGCUGUGCAUUGGUGACAUUUAUGAAAGAACCAUAACACCUAGUACAAUACUAAACACAUUGGAUGAAAGAGGACAGCGAUGGCUACGUUUUGAGGGUAAAAUCAUACCUGUAGAGCAAACGCUGCAGACACAGCAGCAGUUUUAAAAAAGAUUUUAAGAUUAAUUUUUUUGCUCCUCUCACUCUAGCAGUUGAGCUGCCUCACUCUAGCCCCAACAUUCCGUCCCAUACACACCCAUUAUAAAUUUUGAAACGGGUGAAAAAACAUCAUGAAACUUAAACUGGAACUGAAGAAAAAGUAUAAUAGAUAUUGAAAAGAUAAAUACAAGUUGAAUAGUUGAAUGUCUUGUCUUCGUUUUAAAGUUUGAAUGGUGGCUCUAUGUCAAUGUAUGUGGAAGUAGUAAGAGUUUAAAAAUGAGUAAGUUGAAUGAGAAUUUGAAGGGUUUCCCCAUUGAAAUACAUGGGAAAUUUUUGUUGAAUAAAGUUGAAUAAAAUUAAAAAUAUAAAUGUUAAAAAUGAGAAAAAUAGAAGCAGUCAUGUCCAAAAUAAUAGGAAUCUAACGAUGUUUGAAUGGUUUUUCUAAGUUGAACGGUUUUGAAGGAGUUAGAUGCCAAAAAACGUACGGAAUAUGGAAUAAUAAUAAAGAUUUGAAGAACAAUACUGUGAAUGCUUUUCAAGCAUUCACACUAAUAAUAAAGAUUCGAAUAACAAUACUGUGAAUGCUUUUCAAGCAUUCACACUAAUAAAACGUCGCAAGCCAAGCAGUUUGGAAGGGUUUUGAAAGCUGUAUGUAGUAUAUAAGCUAUGAGCCGGGCAAUGCGAGGCAAGUCAGAAGGCUCAAAGGUAUAAAGUAUAGAGUCAGUGAGUGUUUUUGUGUUGGAGCUUCAGGUUCAGCAAAUGAACUCUUCUAUAUUGGUGUGAUUCAUGUGACUUUUUCCUCCUUAAGUACCGCCCACUGGAAAACAGUUUGUAUAAAAAUCUUCUCUUUGGCUGUUUUAGUUUGGAAAUCAAUCUUACCCAAUCAGAUUGUACAAACUGUUAUAGACAGUUAUUAUAUAUAGACAGGUAUUUCUCUCUCUCUGAUCUCUCUGAGAAGCUUCAACCUUUCUUUAAUCAGCAGUGUGAUGAACUGAUGCUCUGAUCUCUGGUCUGACCAAAGCUUUAACUCCAAACAUCUCUCCACUGUUAGAGCUUCUGCAUUGUUUCAGGUUCAAAUCAUGGUUCAUAUUUUCAUUGCCUGAUGGUGUGACGCCUCCACCUACAUCACUGAACUGCUCCACUUCUGUACUCUUCUCUCUGUGGCCUUCUUGAAACAGCCUCUUGGUGUUUGUGGGGUUUUUCUCAGUUCAUGUGUGCCACUGUUUUUUUUUUAUGAAAACUAUUAGUAUAUCUCUGUAAAUAAGACUUUUUAUAUAUAUAUAUAUAAAAACAAUGAUAAUGAGUCUAUUUGUUGAAUGAGUGAAUAAAAUAUGAUCAGUAUGUAAGUGUUAAUAAAGAGUUAAC